GAGCACGUAGGUGGGUUUGUAAGUCAGAUGUGAAAGCCUUCUGUUCAACGGAAGAAUUGCAUCUGAAACUGCGAGUCUUGAGUGUAGGGGGGGAGAAUGGAACUUCUGGUGGAGCGGUGAAAUGCGUAGAUAUCAGAAGGAACGCCGGCGGCGAAAAGCAAUUCUCUGGCCUAUUACUGACACUCAGUGCGCGAAAGCAAGGGGAGCAAACGGGAUUAGAUACCCCGGUAGUCCUAGCCGUAAACGAUGGGCACUAAGUAGAGGGG
rnacentral:rRNA from 1 species